UGGAUCCAGACUUUGAUUAUGGCUCAGGAUGAACGCUAGCUACAGGCUUAACACAUGCAAGUCGAGGGGCAGCAUGAACUUAGCUUGCUAAGUUUGAUGGCGACCGGCGCACGGGUGAGUAACACGUAUCCAACCUUCCGUUUACUCAGGGAUAGCCUUUCGAAAGAAAGAUUAAUACCUGAUAGUAUGGUGAGAUUGCAUGAUAACACCAUUAAAGAUUCAUUGGUAAACGAUGGGGAUGCGUUCCAUUAGGUAGUAGGCGGGGUAACGGCCCACCUAGCCUACGAUGGAUAGGGGUUCUGAGAGGAAGGUCCCCCACAUUGGAACUGAGACACGGUCCAAACUCCUACGGGAGGCAGCAGUGAGGAAUAUUGGUCAAUGGGCGCGAGCCUGAACCAGCCAAGUAGCGUGAAGGAUGAAGGUCCUACGGAUUGUAAACUUCUUUUAUAAGGGAAUAAAGUCGCCUACGUGUAGGCGUUUGUAUGUACCUUAUGAAUAAGCUUCGGCUAACUCCGUGCCAGCAGCCGCGGUAAUACGGAGGAUGCGAGCGUUAUCCGGAUUUAUUGGGUUUAAAGGGAGCGUAGACGGAGGAUUAAGUCAGUUGUGAAAGUUUGCGGCUCAACCGUAAAAUUGCAGUUGAUACUGGUCCCCUUGAGUGCAGUUGAGGCAGGCGGAAUUCGUGGUGUAGCGGUGAAAUGCUUAGAUAUCACGAAGAACCCCGAUUGCGAAGGCAGCCUGCUAAGCUGUAACUGACGUUGAUGCUCGAAAGUGUGGGUAUCAAACAGGAUUAGAUACCCUGGUAGUCCACACGGUAAACGAUGGAUACUCGCUGUUGGCGAUAUACUGUCAGCGGCCAAGCGAAAGCAUUAAGUAUCCCACCUGGGGAGUACGCCGGCAACGGUACAACUCAAAGGAAUUGACGGA
rnacentral:rRNA from 1 species